rnacentral:rRNA from 1 species
AUUGAACGCUGGCGGCAGGCCUAACACAUGCAAGUCGAACGAGUGGCGGACGGGUGAGUAAUGUCUGGGAAACUGCCCGAUGGAGGGGGAUAACUACUGGAAACGGUAGCUAAUACCACAUACCAUCGGAUGUGCCCAGAUGGGAUUAGCUAGUAGGUGGGGUAACGGCUCACCUAGGCGACGAUCCCUAGCUGGUCAGAGAGGCUGACCAGCCAAACUGGAACUGGGACACGGUCCAGACUCCUACGGGAGGCAGAAGUGGGGAAUUUUGGACAAGGGGCGCAAGCCUGAUGCAGCCAUGCCGCGUGUAUGAAGAAGGCCUUCGGGUGGUAAAGUACUUUCAGCAGGGAGGCGUUACUCGCAGAAGAAGCACCGGCUAACUCCGUGCCAGCAGGCGCGGUAAUUC